GCCCGGUUAGCUCAAUCGGUAGAGCGUGAGACUCUUAAGACUACGGUCAUCUCAAGGUUGCGGGUUCGACCCCCGCAUCGGGCU
rnacentral:tRNA from 2 species